rnacentral:rRNA from 1 species
AGGACGAACGCUGGCGGCGUGCUUAACACAUGCAAGUCGAACGGAGUAGCAAUACUUAGUGGCGGACGGGUGAGUAACGCGUGAGAAUCUACCUUCAGGACGGAGACAACAGUUGGAAACGACUGCUAACCCCCGAUGUACUGAAAAGGCAAAUAUUUAUAGCCUGAAGAAGAGCUCGCGUCCGAUUAGCUAGUUGGAGAGGUAAAAGCUCACCAAGGCGACGAUCGGUAGCUGGUCUGAGAGGACGAUCAGCCACACUGGGACUGAGACACGGCCCAGACUCCUACGGGAGGCAGCAGUGGGAAUUUUCCGCAAUGGGCGAAAGCCUGACGGAGCAAGACCGCGUGGGGGAAGAAGGCUCUUGGGUUGUAAACCCCCUUUUCUCUGGGGAAGAACGCAAUGACGGUACCAGAGGAAUCAGCAUCGGCUAACUCCGUGCCAGCAGCCGC